rnacentral:rRNA from 1 species
AUGGAUUUAAGCCCCGCACUUAUAUACUGGAAUGUUCGUGGCCUCAACAACCCGGCCAAGAGGAAGGCGGUCAAGGAGUUCAUCGACACAGUCAAGAUUAGCUUAGUUUUCUUGCAAGAAACUAAAUUGAAUGUAAUCGAUAAGUACAUUGUCAUGCAAUGCCUAGGGCCGUCUUUUGAUGGUUUUGCUUACGUGCCUUUGGAGGAAAUUAGAGGGGGUAUCCUGCUGGAUUGGGACUCCACUGUGGUGGACGUGGUGGGUGUGCAGAAUGAUACCAACUUCCUCAUAGGUUGGGUGCAAACCAAAGGAAGUGCACCGUGGUGGAUUUCGGUGGUUUACGGGCCGCAAGGGGAUGAUCUCAAGACCAAAUUCCUUGAGGACAUGUCAGCGAGAAGAGCGACCUGCCUGGGAGCUUGGAUGAUCCUAGGAGAUUUUAACAUGAUC